rnacentral:rRNA from 1 species
AGUGAACGCUGGCGGUAGGCCUAACACAUGCAAGUCGAACGGCAGCACAUUAAGAGCUUGCUCUUACGGGUGGCGAGUGGCGGACGGGUGAGGAAUACAUCGGAAUCUACUUUUUCGUGGGGUAUAACGUCGGGAAACUUACGCUAAUACCGCAUACGACCUACGGGUGAAAGCAGGGGCUCUUCGGACCUUGCGCGAUUGAAUGAGCCGAUGUCGGAUUAGCUAGUUGGCGGGGUAAAGGCCCACCAAGGCGACGGUCCGUAGCUGGUCUGAGAGGAUGAUCAGACACAGUGGAACUGAGACACGGUCCAGACUCCGACGGGAAGCAGCAGUGGGGAAUAUUGGACAAUGGGAGCAAGCCUGAUCCAGCCAUACCGCGUGGGUGAAGAAGGCAUUCGGGUUGUAAAGCACUUUUGUUGGGAAAGAAAAGCAGCAGGUUAAUACCCCGCUGUUCUGACGGUACCCAAAGAAUAAGCACCGGCUAACUUCGUG